rnacentral:rRNA from 1 species
GGUUACUGCUAUCGGUGUUCGCCUAAGCCAUGCGAGUCAUAUGUUCUUCGGAACAUGGCGUACUGCUCAGUAACACGUGGAUAACCUGCCCUUGGGUCCGGCAUAACCCCGGGAAACUGGGGAUAAUUCCGGAUAACGCACAUAUGCUGGAAUGCUUUAUGCGUCAAAUGGAUUCGUCCGCCCAAGGAUGGGUCUGCGGCCUAUCAGGUAGUAGUGGGUGUAAUGUACCUACUAGCCUACGACGGGUACGGGUUGUGAGAGCAAGAGCCCGGAGAUGGAUUCUGAGACAUGAAUCCAGGCCCUACGGGGCGCAGCAGGCGCGAAAACUUUACAAUGCGGGAAACCGUGAUAAGGGGACACCGAGUGCCAGCAUCAUAUGUUGGCUGUCCGGGUGUGUAAAAUACACCUGUUAGCAAGGGCCGGGCAAGACCGGUGCCAGCCGCCGCGGUAACACCGGCGGCCCGAGUGGUGAUCGUGAUUAUUGGGUCUAAAGGGUCCGUAGCCGGUUUGGUCAGUCCUCCGGGAAAUCUGACGGCUUAACCGUUAGGCUUUCGGGGGAUACUGCCAGACUUGGAACCGGGAGAGGUAAGAGGUACUACAGGGGUAGGAGUGAAAUCUUGUAAUCCCUGUGGGACCACCUGUGGCGAAGGCGUCUUACCAGAACGGGUUCGACGGUGAGGGACGAAAGCUGGGGGCACGAACCGGAUUAGAUACCCGGGUAGUCCCAGCCGUAAACGAUGCUCGCUAGGUGUCAGGCAUGGCGCGACCGUGUCUGGUGCCGCAGGGAAGCCGUGAAGCGAGCCACCUGGGAAGUACGGCCGCAAGGCUGAAACUUAA